rnacentral:rRNA from 2 species
UUAAAUUGAAGAGUUUGAUCAUGGCUCAGAUUGAACGCUGGCGGCAGGCCUAACACAUGCAAGUCGAACGGUAACAGGAAGCAGCUUGCUGUUUCGCUGACGAGUGGCGGACGGGUGAGUAAUGUCUGGGAAACUGCCUGAUGGAGGGGGAUAACUACUG